rnacentral:tRNA from 1 species
GCUGGCGUAGUUCAGUGGUAGAACACGACCUUGCCAAGGUUGAUACGCGAGUUCGAUUCUCGUCGCUAGCU